GUGCUCACUCUGGCAGCACACGCACUAAAAUCGGCACGACACAAAGAAGCUCAGCACAGCUCCUGUGUGAGGACAGCACGCGAAUUCGUGCAGUGUUCUGUAUUUUU